rnacentral:lncRNA from 1 species
GUGAAAGAGGCCGUGGAGCAGUUUGAAUCGCAAGGGUUGAUCUGAGCAACAUUGUAAAGACGGCACCUAAAGUCUCUGCAGACGGAUCCCAGGAGCCCACACAUGACAUCCUGCAGUGCUCAGUGACCUCCAGGAGUCUGUGGCCAGCUCUCGCCCCCAGGAGGUGUCAGCAUACCUCACCCGCUUCUGCGACCAGUGCAAACAGGACAAGGCCUGCCGCUUCCUCGCGGCCCAGAAGGGGGCCUACCCCAUCAUCUUCACUGC